rnacentral:rRNA from 1 species
CAUUCACGGAGAGUUUGAUCCUGGCUCAGGACGAACGCUGGCGGCGUGCUUAACACAUGCAAGUCGAACGAUGAACCACCUUCGGGUGGGGAUUAGUGGCGAACGGGUGAGUAACACGUGGGCAAUCUGCCCUUCACUCUGGGACAAGCCCUGGAAACGGGGUCUAAUACCGGAUACUGACCUGCCAAGGCAUCUUGGCGGGUCGAAAGCUCCGGCGGUGAAGGAUGAGCCCGCGGCCUAUCAGCUUGUUGGUGAGGUAAUGGCUCACCAAGGCGACGACGGGUAGCCGGCCUGAGAGGGCGACCGGCCACACUGGGACUGAGACACGGCCCAGACUCCUACGGGAGGCAGCAGUGGGGAAUAUUGCACAAUGGGCGAAAGCCUGAUGCAGCGACGCCGCG